rnacentral:rRNA from 1 species
GGCUAACUCUGUGCCAGCAGCCGCGGUAAUACAGAGGUCCCAAGCGUUGUUCGGAUUCAUUGGGCGUAAAGGGUGCGUAGGCGGCGGGGUAAGUCUGAUGUGAAAUCCCGGGGCUCAACUCCGGAACUGCAUUGGAUACUGCCUUGCUUGAGUACUGGAGAGGAGACUGGAAUUUACGGUGUAGCAGUGAAAUGCGUAGAGAUCGUAAGGAAGACCAGUGGCGAAGGCGAGUCUCUGGACAGUUACUGACGCUGAGGCACGAAGGCCAGGGGAGCAAACGGGAUUAGAUACCCCGGUAGUCCUGGCAGUAAACGGUGUGCGUUUGGUGUGGGAGGAAUCGACCCCUUCCGUGCCGGAGCUAACGCGUUAAACGCACCGCCUGGGGAGUACGGUCGCAAGAUUAAAACUCAAAGAAAUUGACGGGGGCCCGCACAAGCGGUGGAGUAUGUGGCUUAAUUCGAUGCAACGCGAAGAACCUUACCUGGGCUUGACAUGCCUCUCUAAGGCGGUGAAAGCCGUCGACUCCCGCAAGGGAGAAUUGGCACAGGUGCUGCA